rnacentral:rRNA from 1 species
CCCAGACUCCUACGGGAGGCAGCAGUGAGGAAUAUUGGUCAAUGGGAGGAAUCCUGAACCAGCCAUGCCGCGUGCAGGACGACGGCUCUACGAGUUGUAAACUGCUUUUGUACCGGGGUAAAAUGCCUUACGAGUAGGGUUUUGAAAGUACGGUACGAAUAAGGAUCGGCUAACUCCGUGCCAGCAGCCGCGGUAAUACGGAGGAUGCGAGCGUUAUCCGGAUUUAUUGGGUUUAAAGGGUGCGUAGGCGGAAUAUCAAGUCAGCGGUAAAAAUUCGGGGCUCAACCCCGUCGUGCCGUUGAAACUGAUGUUCUUGAGUGGGCGAGAAGUAUGCGGAAUGCGUGGUGUAGCGGUGAAAUGCAUAGAUAUCACGCAGAACUCCGAUUGCGAAGGCAGCAUACCGGCGCCCAACUGACGCUGAAGCACGAAAGCGUGGGUAUCGAACAGGAUUAGAUACCCGAGUA